GUGGACGUCACCGACGGAGCUGUGCACACAGAUCCACAGAGGUGGGCACCGUGGCACAUGGAAGGCAGAACUCGCAGGCCAGCUCUGCACACCACGGUCAGCAGAUGACACUAACAGUGAUCCCAUGCCACCCGGGGGACAGUGAUCACCGUCUCGGUCACCCGGGGCGUGCUGUCCAGGGAGCCUGUCUACACCAAGCCCCGCUGGGUGUGUCCAGCGCUGCCCAGCCCAGGCCGGCACCAAGGCAGGGGUGGGGUCUCCCGGGGCCUCUGGCCUUGGGUGUGGGAACACAGCCUUUCCGGGUGCAGGACUCAGGACGGAUGCUUCAGACAGGAGAAACCGGAGUGCACAGUGCAGGGCUCACCCUGGCCGCUCCAGUCCCUUCUAACCUCAUCCCCCGAGUGGCCAAGUGUGGUGAGGUUUCCUGGAGGCUCCCUGGUCCUGCGGGUCGGGUCAUCCUGUACACAGGCACGGGCGCGGCCUGGCGCACGGCGGAGGAGGCCGUGUACCCCGCGGGCUCCUCACUCGCUGGCGCCUCGCGGGACGCCGGGCCUGGGUCCCUGCCAAGCCGGACCCCAAGGAAGGCGGGCUGGAGCGGGG
rnacentral:lncRNA from 1 species